GACGAACGCUGGCGGCGUGCUUAACACAUGCAAGUCGAACGGAAAGGCCCUGCUUUUGUGGGGUGCUCGAGUGGCGAACGGGUGAGUAACACGUGAGUAACCUGCCCUUGACUUUGGGAUAACUUCAGGAAACUGGGGCUAAUACCGGAUAGGAGCUCCUGCUGCAUGGUGGGGGUUGGAAAGUUUCGGCGGUUGGGGAUGGACUCGCGGCUUAUCAGCUUGUUGGUGGGGUAGUGGCUUACCAAGGCUUUGACGGGUAGCCGGCCUGAGAGGGUGGCCGGCCACAUUGGGACUGAGAUGAGGCCCAGACUCCUACGGGAGGCAGAAGUGGGGAAUAUUGCACAAUGGGCGGAAGCCUGAUGCAGCAACGCCGCGUGCGGGAUGACGGCCUUCGGGUUGUAAACCGCUUUCGCCUGUGACGAAGCGUGAGUGACGGUAAUGGGUAAAGAAGCACCGGCUAACUACGUG
rnacentral:rRNA from 1 species